rnacentral:rRNA from 1 species
CCUACGUGAGGCAGCAGUGAGGAAUAUUGGUCAAUGGACGAGAGUCUGAACCAGCCAAGUAGCGUGAAGGAUGACUGCCCUAUGGGUUGUAAACUUCUUUUAUAUGGGAAUAAAAUGCAGUAUGUAUACGGCUUUGCAUGUACCUUAUGAAUAAGGAUCGGCUAACUCCGUGCCAGCAGCCGCGGUAAUACGGAGGAUCCGAGCGUUAUCCGGAUUUAGUGGGUUUAAAGGGAGCGUAGGCGGGUUGUUAAGUCAGUUGUGAAAGUUUGCGGCUCAACCGUAAAAUUGCAGUUGAUACUGGCAUCCUUGAGUACAGUCGAGGUAGGCGGCAUUCGUGGUGUAGCGGU